rnacentral:rRNA from 1 species
AUUGAACGCUGGCGGCAGGCCUAACACAUGCAAGUCGAGCGGAUGAAGGGAGCUUGCUCCUGGAUUCAGCGGCGGACGGGUGAGUAAUGCCUAGGAAUCUGCCUGGUAGUGGGGGAUAACGUCCGGAAACGGGCGCUAAUACCGCAUACGUCCUGAGGGAGAAAGUGGGGGAUCUUCGGACCUCACGCUAUCAGAUGAGCCUAGGUCGGAUUAGCUAGUUGGUGGGGUAAAGGCCUACCAAGGCGACGAUCCGUAACUGGUCUGAGAGGAUGAUCAGUCACACUGGAACUGAGACACGGUCCAGACUCCUACGGGAGGCAGCAGUGGGGAAUAUUGGACAAAGGGCGAAAGCCUGAUCCAGCCAUGCCGCGUGUGUGAAGAAGGUCUUCGGAUUGUAAAGCACUUUAAGUUGGGAGGAAGGGCAGUAAGUUGAUACCUUGCUGUUUUGACGUUACCAAAAGAAUAAGCACCGGCUAACUUCGUG